rnacentral:rRNA from 1 species
GAUUAACGCUGGCGGCGUGCCUAAUGCAUGCAAGUCGAACGUGGUCCCUUCGGGGAUGCGCGUGGCGGACGGGUGAGGAACACGUGGGGAACCUGCCCAUUGGUGGGGGGUAGCCCGCGGAAACGCGGGGUAAUUCCGCAUACGCUGGCCGGUCGCUAGGACUGGUCAGGAAAGGGUCUUCGGACUCGCCGAUGGAGGGGCCUGCGCCCGAUUAGCUGGUUGGUGGGGUAACGGCCUACCAAGGCGGUGANCGGUAGCUGGUCUGAGAGGACGGCCAGCCACAGGGGAACUGAGACACGGUCCCCACUCCUACGGGAGGCAGCAGCAAGGAGUUUUCCGCAAUGGGCGCAAGCCUGACGGAGCAACGCCGCGU